rnacentral:rRNA from 1 species
GUGGGGAAUAUUGGACAAUGGGGGGAACCCUGAUCCAGCCAUGCCGCGUGUGUGAAGAAGGCCUUUUGGUUGUAAAGAACUUUAAGCGAGGAGGAGGCUACCGAGAUUAAUACUCUUGGAUAGUGGACGUUACUCGCAGAAUAAGCACCGGCUAACUCUGUGCCAGCAGCCGCGGUAAUACAGAGGGUGCAAGCGUUAAUCGGAUUUACUGGGCGUAAAGCGCGCGUAGGUGGCCAAUUAAGUCAAAUGUGAAAUCCCCGAGCUUAACUUGGGAAUGGCAUUCGAUACUGGUUGGCUAGAGUAUGGGAGAGGAUGGUAGAAUUCCAGGUGUAGCGGUGAAAUGCGUAGAGAUCUGGAGGAAUACCGAUGGCGAAGGCAGCCAUCUGGCCUAAUACUGACACUGAGGUGCGAAAUCAUGGGGAGCAAACAGGAUUAGAAACCCCAGUAGUCC